AGGGAAACCGAGUCUUAACUGGGCGUUAAGUUGCAGGGUAUAGACCCGAAACCCGGUGAUCUAGCCAUGGGCAGGUUGAAGGUUGGGUAACACUAACUGGAGGACCGAACCGACUAAUGUUGAAAAAUUAGCGGAUGACUUGUGGCUGGGGGUGAAAGGCCAAUCAAACCGGGAGAUAGCUGGUUCUCCCCGAAAGCUAUUUAGGUAGCGCCUCGUGAACUCAUCUUCGGGGGUAGAGCACUGUUUCGGCUAGGGGGUCAUCCCGACUUACCAACCCGAUGCAAACUGCGAAUACCGAAGAAUGUUAUCACGGGAGACACACGGCGGGUGCUAACGUCCGUCGUGAAGAGGGAAACAACCCAGACCGCCAGCUAAGGUCCCAAAGUCACAGUUAAGUGGGAAACGAUGUGGGAAGGCUCAGACAGCCAGGAUGUUGGCUUAGAAGCAGCCAUCAUUUAAAGAAAGCGUAAUAGCUCACUGGUCGAGUCGGCCUGCGCGGAAGAUGUAACGGGGCUAAACUGUGCACCGAAGCUGCGGCAGCGACGCUUAUGCGUUGUUGGGUAGGGGAGCGUUCUGUAAGCCUGCGAAGGUGUCCUGUGAGGGAUGCUGGAGGUAUCAGAAGUGCGAAUGCUGACAUAAGUAACGAUAAUGCGGGUGAAAAGCCCGCUCGCCGGAAGACCAAGGGUUCCUGUCCAACGUUAAUCGGGGCAGGGUGAGUCGACCCCUAAGGCGAGGCCGAAAGGCGUAGUCGAUGGGAAACGGGUUAAUAUUCCCGUACUUGGUGUUACUGCGAAGGGGGGACGGAGAAGGCUAUGUUGGCCGGGCGACGGUUGUCCCGGUUUAAGCGUGUAGGCUGGUUUUCCAGGCAAAUCCGGAAAAUCAAGGCUGAGGCGUGAUGACGAGGCACUACGGUGCUGAAGCA
rnacentral:rRNA from 1 species